AAAAAUGUUGGAGAAAACUCAAAGAAAAUUCUGCUCUCAACAAAUCUGAAAUUUUAAUAAUAAUGAUAAGUGUUUAACAAGGUGGACAGCCAUGCCUUUAAAUAGGUCUUAUAACUAGUCCUAAUCUAAUUAGAAAACUAAAAAAAAAAUUCCUAAUUAUUUUAAUAUGGAAAUUUGGUCAAAGGUCAUUUUAUCUGGGACUCUUGGACUGAAUAUUGACAUAAAAAUUUAAACUAAGUAAAUAAAUAAAUAAAUAAAUAAAAAUAAAACUUUACAACUUGGGCCACUUUGACAAUUUGGCAUGAUUUUCAACUAAGUAUGGAUGGAUUUCUUGAUUGGGCUGGGAAUUUGCUUAUUGGGCCUCGCCUUCAAGAAUUUGGGCUUUUGUGACUCGUAUCACAUUCUUGGUAGGAAGGCACUUUUUAAUUAAAACAGACCAUCAAAGCUUAAAAUUUCUCUCUGAGUAAUAAGCAAUCACCCCCAUUCAACAGAGAUGGGUUGCUAAAAUGUUGGGGUAUGAUUACUCCAUUGUGUAUCGACAGGGAACUCAAAAUACUGUGGCUAAUGCUCUUUCCAGGAAACCAAGUGUUGAUGGAACUCAAUUGUUUCAGUGUACAGGCAAAAAUACUAUAGCUUGGUCUGAUCUGUGGGAAGAAAUCAUUGAAGUUGGCCUAAAAGAUCCUACAUUGCAAAAACUAUGUAAAAAUGUGCAACAACAACCUCAUGACCACCCUAAGUACUCUUAGGAUGGUACAGUUCUUCGAAGGAAAAAGAAUGUGGUUGUAGGUAACCAAUUAAAGCUAAGGAAGACCAUCUUUCAACUCUUUCAUGGAGAGGCAAUUGGAGGGCAUUCUGGAGUACAUGUUACAAGGCAGAGGAUAACAGGUUUUCUCUACUGGAAAGGACUUUCAAAAGACAUCAAAACAUUGGUGCGUGAAUGUUCUACUUGCCAAAAAUGCAAAAGUGACCAUGCUGCCUACCUUGGUCUGUUACAACCAUUGCCUAUUCCUGAUUAGGCAUGGGCUGCUAUUAGCCUAGAUGUCAUUGAAGGGUUGCUAGUAUAUAAGGGGAAGACAACCAUAUUGGUGAUUAUAGACAGGCUGACCAAAUAUGGUCAUUUCAUUGCCCUGGUACACCCUUACACUGCUACCACAAUGGCUCGGGUUUAUUUGGAUCAGAUCUAUAAACUACAUGGAGCUCCUGAAUCUAUUAUUUCAGAUCAAGACAGGGUUUUUCUCAACCAUUUUUGGCAACAACUCUUCAAGCACCUUGGUACCAAACUCCAUGUAUCAACUGCAUACCAUCCACAAACAAAUGAGCAAAUAGAGAUUCUGAGCAAGUGUAUGGAAGGUUACCUCAGAUGUAUGAUAGGGGAGAUGCCUUCUAAAUGGUCUACUUGGUUGCCACUCGAAGAAUCGUGAUACAACACCACAUUCCAUUCAACAAUUUAGACAACUCCAUAUGAAGCUUUGUAUGGCCAGGUACCUCCUAUUCAUCUGCCUUACUUGGCUGGAUUAUCACCAUUAGAGAAGGUUGACAGAAGCCUUCAGCAUCAAGAAAACCUUAGAAAGUUGUUUAAGUUCCAUUUAACAAAAGCACAAGAAUGAAACAAUUAGCAAACAAAAAGGUCAGAACGACAAUUUGAAGUGAGGGACUUGGUGUAUUUAAGGCUUCAACCUAGACAGCAUUCCUUGAGGAAAAUGAGGAACCAAAAACUCUCACAGAAGUAUUUUGGCCCUUAUCCUGUGGAGGCCAAGAUAGGAGAGGUAACUUACAAAUUAACACUACCUAUGGGAGCUCAAAUUCACCAAACCUUCCAUGUCUCAGAACUUAAAAAACACAUUGGUUCACCAAGUUGUACACCUGACUUACCUUUACCUCCUGUGUCCUGAAAGAACCAGUCAAAAUCAUUGACAGAAGAAUGACUAAAAAAGGUAACCAAGCUGUCAUUGAAAUACUUGUUGAAUGAGCUAAUACAUUUCCAGAAGAUACUACUUGGGAAAUUUGGAACACUCUUCAACAACAAUAUCCAACCUUUGAUCCUUAAGGACAAGGACCAGUUUUACGAGGGGAGUACUUGUUAUGGAAGAGAUCAAGAGACUAGCAAGCUGUUGCAAAUGUUUUCCUUUUUCUGUUAUUUUGUUAGUUUAAAGGUCUUGUAAAAAGCUGCAUUUCCUUAAUUGUUUUAAUUGUAAUCACACGAGGUCGUUUAGGGAGGAGGGUAAAAACUUUAUAAAACGCCGUGUUUAGGUGUUUGUCUUUUAAUUGAAACGAGUCAUUUUGGGAACACCUGGGGUUGUUGCCAAGUUGUUUUUGAAACAAUUACACACACUAAAAGAAGAGUUUAUGAAAUCAAAAAUCCAUUUUUCUCUUACCUCUUUUUCUUUGAAUUCUUUCAACCUAUCUUCCGUUUCUCUCGGAUUCUCUUCUUCGGUUGUAUCGCUAGCACCCAAACUCUGGUCUGGUUGAUGGGUUAGUAAUGGCCAAAGCACAAAAAAAACCCCAUGUGGCACCUAUUAUCUAACAAAAUGUCCAU
rnacentral:lncRNA from 1 species